rnacentral:rRNA from 1 species
CCUACGGGAGGCUGCAGUAGGGAAUCUUCGUCAAUGGGCGCAAGCCUGAACGAGCAAUGCCGCGUGAACGAGGAAGGUCUUCGGAUCGUAAAGUUCUGUUGAAGGGGAAAAAGAGCGGAGAGAGGAAAUGCUUUCUGAUUGAUAUUACCCUUCGAGGAAGUCACGGCUAACUACGUGCCAGCAGCCGCGGUAAUACGUAGGUGGCGAGCGUUAUCCGGAAUGAUUGGUCGUAAAGGGUGCGUAGGCGGCCUGCUAAGUCUGGAGUGAAAGGUACCGGCUCAACCGGUACAGGCUCUGGAAACUGGCGGGCUAGAGGGCAGGAGAGGGCGGUGGAACUCCAUGUGUAGCGGUAAAAUGCGUAGAUAUAUGGAAGAACACCAGUGGCGAAGGCGGCCGCCUGGCCUGUUACUGACGCUGAGGCACGAAAGCGUGGGGAGCAAAUAGGAUUAGAUACCCUUGUAGUC